UCGAACGAUGAGGCCCAGCUUGCUGGGUGGAUUAGUGGCGAACGGGUGAGUAACACGUGAGUAACCUGCCCUGGACUCUGGGAUAACCCCGAGAAAUCGGAGCUAAUACCGGAUAUGACCUUUCCUCGCAUGAGGGUUGGUGGAAAGUUUUUCGGUCUGGGAUGGACUCGCGGCCUAUCAGCUUGUUGGUGAGGUAAUGGCUCACCAAGGCGUCGACGGGUAGCCGGCCUGAGAGGGUGACCGGCCACACUGGGACUGAGACACGGCCCAGACUCCUACGGGAGGCAGCAGUGGGGAAUAUUGCACAAUGGGCGCAAGCCUGAUGCAGCAACGCCGCGUGCGGGAUGACGGCCUUCGGGUUGUAAACCGCUUUUAGUAAGGAAGAAGGGGAGCUUGCUCCUUGACGGUACUUGCAGAAAAAGGACCGGCUAACUACGUGCCAGCAGCCGCGGUAAUACGUAGGGUCCGAGCGUUGUCCGGAAUUAUUGGGCGUAAAGAGCUCGUAGGCGGUUUGUCGCGUCUGCUGUGAAAUCCCGAGGCUCAACCUCGGGCCUGCAGUGGGUACGGGCAGACUUGAGUGGUGUAGGGGAGACUGGAAUUCCUGGUGUAGCGGUGGAAUGCGCAGAUAUCAGGAGGAACACCGAUGGCGAAGGCAGGUCUCUGGGCACUUACUGACGCUGAGGAGCGAAA
rnacentral:rRNA from 1 species